GACGAACGCUGGCGGCGUGCUUAACACAUGCAAGUCGAACGGAAAGGCCCUGCUUGCAGGGUACUCGAGUGGCGAACGGGAGAGUAACACGUGGGUGAUCUGCCCUGCACUUCGGGAUAAGCCUGGGAAACUGGGUCUAAUACCGGAUAGGAGCCAUUUUUAGUGUGAUGGUUGGAAAGUUUUUUCGGUGUAGGAUGAGCUCGCGGCCUAUCAGCUUGUUGGUGGGGUAAUGGCCUACCAAGGCGGCGACGGGUAGCCGGCCUGAGAGGGUGGACGGCCACAUUGGGACUGAGAUACGGCCCAGACUCCUACGGGAGGCAGCAGUGGGGAAUAUUGCACAAUGGGCGCAAGCCUGAUGCAGCGACGCCGCGGGGGGGAUGACGGCCUUCGGGUUGUAAACUCCUUUCGCUAGGGACGAAGCUUUUUGUGACGGUACCUAGAUAAGAAGCACCGGCUAACUACGUG
rnacentral:rRNA from 1 species